CACAGAACCAGCUAGGUUGGGAAGGACGUUGAAGAUCAUCUGUCCAACUAUUAACCUAGCACUGACAGUUCCCAACUACACCAUGUGACAAAUAUUUUUAGU